rnacentral:rRNA from 1 species
UACGGAGGUUGCAAGCGUUGUUCGGAAUAACUGGGCGUAAAGGGUGCGCAGGCGGCUUGGUAAGUCUAAAGUGAAAUUCCAGGGCUCAACCCUGGACGUGCUUUGGAUACUGCCUGGCUUGAGUACGUGAGAGGAGAUUGGAAUUCCAGGUGUAGCGGUGAAAUGCGUAGAUAUCAGGAAGAACACCAAUGGCGAAAGCAGCUUUCUGGGACGGUACUGACGCUGAGACGCGAAAGCGUGGGGAGCGAACAGG